GGCACUUUGCCAGAGUGGUUAAUGGGUAGCACUCGAAAUGCUAUGUCUUCGGACGCGCAGGUUCAAAUCCUGCAGGUGUCG